rnacentral:rRNA from 1 species
CACGUAGUCAGCCGGGGCUUCCUCCAAGGGUAAUGUCAUUUGUUUCUUCCCCUAGGACAGAAGUUUACAACCCGAAGGCCUUCUUCCUUCACGCGGCGUUGCUGCAUCAGGGUUUCCCCCAUUGUGCAAUAUUCCCCACUGCUGCCUCCCGUAGGAGUUUGGACCGUGUCUCAGUUCCAAUGUGGCCGAUCACCCUCUCAGGUCGGCUACUGAUCGUUGCCUUGGUAAGCCGUUACCCUACAACUAGCUAAUCAGACGCAGGCCCAUCCCAUACCGAUAAAUCUUUGACAAGUGAUACAUGUGUAUCUCUUGCAUCAUGGGGUAUUAAUCACCUUUUCGGGUGGCUAUCCCCCUGUACAGGGCAGGUUGCCUACGCGUUACUCACCGUCCGCCGCUUUCCAUAUGAAAAUCUACCGAAGCUUCAUUUCUUUACUUCUCGCUCGACUUGCAUGUGUUAGGCUACGCCGCCAGCGUUCAUCCUGAGCCAGGAUCAAACUCU